GAUGAGGAAAUGCGGGGCGCAAAUCCGUGUUGCGUUGGAAACUGCCAAACUAGAGUACUUGAGAGGUGGGCGGAACUACAAGUGUAGAGGUGAAAUUCGUAGAUAUUUGUAGGAAUGCCGAUAGAGAAGUCAGCUCACUGGACAGAUACUGACACUGAAGCGCGAAAGCAUGGGGAGCAAG
rnacentral:rRNA from 1 species